UACGGGGGGGGGCAAGCGUUGUUCGGAAUUACUGGGCGUAAAGGGCUCGUAGGCGGCCAAACUAAGUCAGACGUGAAAUCCCCUCGGCUUAACCGGGGAACUGCGUCUGAUACUGGAUGGCUUGAGGUUGGGAGAGGGAUGCGGAAUUCCAGGUGUAGCGGUGAAAUGCGUAGAUAUCUGGAGGAACACCGGUGGCGAAGGCGGCAUCCUGGACCAAUUCUGACGCUGAGGAGCGAAAGCCAGGGGAGCAAACGGG
rnacentral:rRNA from 1 species